GAUGAACGCUAGCGGCAGGCUUAAUACAUGCAAGUCGUGGGGCAGCAUGAAUGUAGCAAUACAUUUGAUGGCGACCGGCAAACGGGUGCGGAACACGUACACAACCUUCCGAUAAGUGGGGAAUAGCCCAGAGAAAUUUGGAUUAAUACCCCGUAACAUAUAGAGGUGGCAUCAUCUUUAUAUUAUAGCUACGGCGCUUAUUGAUGGGUGUGCGGCUGAUUAGAUAGUUGGCGGGGUAACGGCCCACCAAGUCUACGAUCAGUAGCUGAUGUGAGAGAAAGAUCAGCAACACGGGCACUAGGACACGGGCCCGACUCCUACGGGAGGCAGCAGUAAGGAAUAUUGGUCAAUGGACGCAAGUCUGAACCAGCCAUGCCGCGUGAAGGAUUAAGGUCCUCUGGAUUGUAACUUCUUUUAUCUGGGACGAAAAAAGGCGAUUCUUCGUCACUUGACGGUACCAGAUGAAUAAGCACCGGCUAACUCCGUGCCAGCAGCCGCGGUAA
rnacentral:rRNA from 1 species